AUUGAACGCUGGCGGCAGGCUUAACACAUGCAAGUCGAACGAGUGGCGGACGGGUGAGUAAUGCUUGGGAAUCUGGCUUCUGGAGGGGGAUAACGACGGGAAACUGUCGCUAAUACCGCGUACCAUCGGAUGAGCCCAAGUGGGAUUAGGUAGUUGGUGAGGUAAAGGCUCACCAAGCCGACGAUCUCUAGCUGGUCUGAGAGGAGGACCAGCCACACGGGGACUGAGACAAGGCACAGAAUCCUACGUGAGGCAGAAGUGGGGAAUAUUGCGCAAUGGGGGCAAGCCGGACGCAGCCAUGCCGCGUGAAGGAAGAAGGCCUUCGGGUUGGAAAGGUCUGUCGGUAGCGAGGCGUUAACGACAGAAGAAGCACCGGCUAACUCCGUGCCAGCCGCCGCGGUAAUAC
rnacentral:rRNA from 1 species